UGGGCGCCAAUCUGGAAGGAACACGCCGCGUGAGUGAAGAAAGGGUUUCGGCUCGUAAAGCUCUGUUGGUAGUGAAGAAAGAUAGAGGAGUAACUGGCCUUUAUUUGACGGUAAUUACUUAGAAAGUCACGGCUAACUACGUGCCAGCAGCCGCGGUAAUACGUAGGUGGCAAGCGUUGUCCGGAUUUAUUGGGCGUAAAGCGAGUGCAGGCGGUUCAAUAAGUCUGAUGUGAAAGCCUUCGGCUCAACCGGAGAAUUGCAUCAGAAACUGUUGAACUUGAGUGCAGAAGAGGAGAGUGGAACUCCAUGUGUAGCGGUGAAAU
rnacentral:rRNA from 1 species